GAGAGAGAAAGCGAGAGAGAGGGAGUCGGCAAGAGAAAGACAGAGAGGUAGAGCAAGCAAGAGAGCGCGAACAAGUAGAGGGAGGAAAAGAGACAGGGAGAAGCUGAACAUAGAAACAACACAUUGAUUGAAGAGGGUGACUUUCCUGUCAGCACUGAGAUGGAGGGAGAGAGAGAGACAGAGAGAGAGAGAGUGUGAGAGAGAGAGAGAGAGAUAGAGAAAGAGGGAGAGACACCAGCCAAUUGAGAGGCUGAGUGUCCCUCCUUUCCGGUCUGAACCCCAACCUCCAAAGUGACAGAACGAGCUCAAACUUGAGAGCAGAAAUAUGGACCGUGAACGGCCAGGAGAUGCAGACACAGCUCAGAGACUCGACGCGUGGAGCCUGACUCACACAGAGAGACAGAGAACACCCAAGUGAGUAUGUCUGAUUGUUGCUUAAAACAGAGCCUUACAGUGAUUGACAAUCUCACGGGAUUGUAAGUGAAGCCGACACGUAGCUGGCAGGUGAGGAGAUGUUGAGGUUAUUCUGACGGCAGAGAGGUUGCGUGGUGACACCCAUGCUGGGUUUGGAUGGUGGAAGAAAGUGGAAACGGUUUUCAGGAGCAGGAUUGCGAACCAGUGGGACAAAAGCUGGUCAGAAGCAGCAAAACAACCAGAGAGAGAGAGGAGAUGAGGAAGGCUUUAACUCAGGGAGCUGUGACAACACAGAACAUGCAGCCCAGGGGCGAGAGUGGCCAGAAACACAACAACGUGAAAAUUCCUGCUUAAAAGCAGAACAAAACCUGAUUCUUACUGUGACAAAAAACGAUGUCAUUAUUGGGCAUGUC